GAUGAACGCUGGCGGCGUGCCUAAUACAUGCAAGUCGAGCGGACAGACGAGGAGCUUGCUCCUCUGACGUUAGCGGCGGACGGGUGAGUAACACGUGGAUAACCUACCUAUAAGACUGGGAUAACUUCGGGAAACCGGAGCUACUACCGGAUAAUAUAUUGAACCGCAUGGUUCAAUAGUGAAAGACGGUUUUGCUGUCACUUAUAGAUGGAUCCGCGCCGCAUUAGCUAGUUGGUAAGGUAACGGCUUACCAAGGCAACGAUGCGUAGCCGACCUGAGAGGGUGAUCGGCCACACUGGAACUGAGACACGGUCCAGACUCCUACGGGAGGCAGCAGUAGGGAAUCUUCGGCAAUGGGCGAAAGCCUGACGGAGCAACGCCGCGUGAGUGAUGAAGGUCUUCGGAUCGUAAAACUCUGUUAUUAGGGAAGAACAACUGUAUAAGUAACUAUGCACGUCUUGACGGUACCUAAUCAGAAAGCCACGGCUAACUACGUG
rnacentral:rRNA from 1 species